rnacentral:rRNA from 1 species
AUUGAACGCUGGCGGCAGGCCUAACACAUGCCAGUCGAGCGAUCGGCGGACGGGUGAGUAAUGUAUGGGGACUGCCCGAUAGAGGGGGAUAACUACUGGAAACGGUGGCUAAUACCGCAUACUGUCGCAUAACCCAUAUGGGAGUAGCUAGUAGGUAAGGGAAUGGCUUACCUAGGCGACGAUCCCUAGCUGGUCUGAGAGGAUGUUCAGCCACAGUGGGACGGAGACACGGCCCAGACUCCUACGGAGGCAGCAGUGGGGAAUAUUGCACAAUGGGAGAAAGCCUGAUGCAGCCAUGCCGCGUGUAUGAAGAAGGCCCUAGGGUUGUAAAGUACUGUCAGUCGGGAGGCGUUACCGACAGAAGAAGCACCGGCUAACUCCGUGCCAGCAGCCGCGGUAAUAC